GAUGAACGCUGGCGGCGUGCCUAAUACAUGCAAGUCGAGCGCGAGAGUGAGGAGCUUGCUCCUCAUAAUCGAGCGGCGGACGGGUGAGUAACACGUAGGCAACCUACCCUUGAGAUUAGGAUAACUACCGUAAACGGUAGCUAAUACCGGAUACGACUUUUCCACACAAGUGGAAUGGUUAAAAGGCGGAUUUAUCUGCCGCUCAUGGAUGGGCCUGCGGUGCAUUAGCUAGUUGGUGAGGUAGUGGCUCACCAAGGCGACGAUGCAUAGCCGACCUGAGAGGGUGAUCGGCCACACUGGGACUGAGACACGGCCCAGACUCCUACGGGAGGCAGCAUUAGGGAAUCUUCCGCAAUGGACGCAAGUCUGACGGAGCAACGCCGCGUGAGUGAUGAAGGGUUUCGGCUCGUAAAACUCUGUUGUUAAGGAAGAACACUUGAGGUAGUAACUGGCCUUGAGAUGACGGUACUUAACCAGAAAGCCACGGCUAACUACGUGCCAGCCGCCGCCGUAA
rnacentral:rRNA from 1 species